GUGAGGAAUUUUCCGCAAUGGGCGAAAGCCUGACGGAGCAAUGCCGCGUGAAGGAUGAAGGCCUAUGGGUUGCAAACUUCUUUUCUCAGAAAAGAAUUAUGACGGUAUCUGAGGAAUAAGCAUCGGCUAACUCUGUGCCAGCAGCCGCGGUAAGACAGAGGAUGCAAGCGUUAUCCGGAAUGAUUGGGCGUAAAGCGUCUGUAGGUUGUUUAAAAAGUAUUCUGUCAAAGAUUAGGGCUUAACCCUAGAUAGGCAGAAUAAACUUUUAAGCUAGAGUUUGGUAGAGGCAGAGGGAAUUCCCGGUGGAGCGGUGAAAUGCGUAGAUAUCGGGAGGAACACCAAAGGCGAAGGCACUCUGCUGGGCCAAUACUAACACUGAGAGACGAAAGCGAGGGGAGCAAAUGGGAUUAGAAACCCUGGUAGUCC
rnacentral:rRNA from 1 species